rnacentral:tRNA from 1 species
AAUCCUAUAGUAUAUAAAUAAUAUUAAAUUGCAAAUUUAAAGAUGUGAGAUUCACUAGGAUUU